UUACGGUCACAUCACAUUAAAAUACCGGUUCCCAUACGAUCACCAAAGUUAAGCAACAUCAAACCUGGUGAGUACCUAGAUGGGUGACUGCAUGGGAAUACCAGGUGUUGUAA